UUCAAUGGCGGGCGAUGUGCGGGGAUCUCCCGAUCCGCCGGUUUUUCUUGAUAGACAUGCUUGCCGGUACUCCAACCCGCAUCGCCCGCCACCUCG
rnacentral:antisense_RNA from 1 species